GAUGAAGAACGCAGUGAAAUGCGAUAAGUAAUGCGAAUUGCAGAAUUCAGUGAGUCAUCGAAUCUUUGAACGCACAUUGCGCCCUGUGGUAUUCCGCAGGGCAUGCCUGUUCGAGCGUCAUUUCAACCCUCAAGCUCUGCUUGGUGUUGGGCCCUGCCCGCUGCGGCCGGCCCUAAAGAUAGUGGCGGUGCCGCCUGGCCCUGAGCGUAGUACAUCUCUCGCUCCAGUGCCCGGUGGUAGCCUGCCAGAACCCCAACUCUCGUGGUUGACCUCGGAUCAGGUAGGGAUACCCGCUGAACUUAAGCAUAUCAAUAAGCGGAGGA
rnacentral:misc_RNA from 1 species